GAAAACAGUCUAAAACAUGAUAAAAUAAUUCAAUGUAGCAGAUAAUGUCAUAAAUACGCGGAAGAACAACCCAACACAGCCCAAAACCGGGGUGUCACUAGUCAUGACCAUCUAUAAUCCUACUACAAGUCCGAUAAGUCUAUAACUACUACAAAUGUUUGGAAAGAGAUAGAAAUGACAAGAGAGAAAAACACAGGACUGCGGACGCCAAACAGCUGCCUCGUGAACUCCGAAUGUCCGUCGGGAGCCCUCAACUCGCACUAGCAGGAUCAGCAACGCCGGAAUCUGCACACGGGAUGCAGGGAGAAAAGUGAGUAAUCCAACUCAGUGAGUAACAAAUGUAAAUAAAGACUGAAAGCAAGAAAUCACGUAAAACACAAGACAUUCUAUAAUGAAGCAGUAAAACAGUGAAAGAUAGGUAAAAUCCUUUAACUCAAAUAUAGUUUGAUGAAAAACCAUUUUCAAUAAUUAAGCAGGUAAUUGACAAUCAGUUAUGAAAAGUAAACACAUAAAAGCUCACCCUUCGGGCACAGUAUCAGCAAUUCCGCCCCUCGGGCAACAUCUCAGAACAGUACCAGCCCCUCGGGCAAUCACAUAGAACAAUAUCAGCCCCUCAGGCUCAAUCUCACAUCAUAAUGGGUACACGCGCUCACUGGGGGUGUACAGACUCCUGGAGGGGCCCCUUACGACCCAAGCGCAAUGUCAAGCCACCUCGUGGCAUCAUUACUAGGCCCUUGGCCUCAUAUCAAAUAAGCCACCUCAUGGCGUACAUAUCUCAGGCCCUCGGCCUCAGUCAAAAAUCCUCACAAGCCACUCGGGCAAUAGUAAAACAGUGUUUCUCAUCCCAGACAUCAUUUAAAAAUAUCAUUUGAGUAUUAAAACUAAGUAAACAUGGCUGAGUACGAAAACAGUGGAAAAUAACAUGACUGAGUUCAAGUAUAAAGUCAAAACAGUGAGGAAAUAUCAAUAAAAAUCCCCGAAGGGUUCAAAUAGUUGGCACGAAGCCGAAAUAUGGCAUUCAACCCAAAUAAUGAUGAUAAUAAAUAGAUUCCAGUCAAAUACGCAGUAAAACCAUCAAUCGAAACGAACCAAGUCACAAUCCCAAAUAGUGCACGACCCCACGCACGUCAUCAAACGUGUGUCUCACCUCAAUAUAGCACUACGAUGUGCAAAUCCGGGGUUUCAAACCCUUAGAACAUCAUUUACAAUCAUUACUCACCUCGAACCGGUCAAAUCUCUAGCUCGCAACGCCUUUGCCCCUCGAAUCGGCCUCCACUCGCGUCGAAUCUAUCCAAAAAUCAGAAUCACGAUGUCAAAAUAUGCUAAGGGAACGAAGCCCAAGCGAAAACAAUCAAAUAAUAGCAGAAAUCUCGAAAUUGGCCAAACCCAACCCCCGGGCCCACGUCUCGAAAGUCGAUAAAAAUCACAUUACCGGAAUCCUUAUCCUCCUACGAGUCUAUACAUAUCAAAAACACUAAAAUUAGAGUCCAAAUGGCCCCUCAAAUCCUCAUUUAAAGUCUCUUAAUCUCAAGCCCUAACUUCUCAAUUUUUAGGCUUAGAUUCCAUGAUUUAUUAGGUAGAUUUCACAAUAGAAUAGAGUUUUAAGUCCAAAAUUCUUACCUCCAAAUGUUUCCCCUUGAAUCCCUCUUCAAUCUCCUUCAAAAAGCUCCAAAAACGACCAACUAUGGAGGAAAUAAACCCCAAAAUCACGGACAAGACGAGUACUUAAACAUUCUGUCCAGGCCUAAAUUUCCUUCUUCGCGAACGCGGUCAAAGCCUCACGUUCGCGAAGCUCACAAAUUUCGUUGACCAAAACUCUUCUUUGCGAGCGCGACCCCACCAUCGCGAACACGAUGCCUUAGCUUCACCAACCUACGCGAACGCGACCAAGCCUCUCGCGAACCCGAUGCUUACUAAUCCAGCCCUUCGCGAACGCUGAACUCCCCUUCACGAACGCGAAGGCUAAACCUGGCACCUCCCUUCUUGACCCUUCGCGAACGCAAGGGUCCACUCGCGAACGCGAAGACCAAAAUAUCUACAACAGCUGAAACCAUUUUCUUUAAUUUUUCUUAACUUAAAAUGAUCCAUUCAACCCUCCGAAACUCACCCGAGGCCCCCGGGACCUCAACCAAAGGCACAAACAUAUCCCAUUACCUUAUCCAAACUUGUUCCAAUCUUCAAAACACCUCAAACAACAUCAAAUCAACCAAAACACAUCAGAUUCAAGCCUAACUUUCUAAAAUCUUCUGAAUUCCUCUUUUGAUAAAAAAAACCCAACCAAACCACGUCCAAAUGACCUGAAAUUUUGCACACAUCCCAAAUGACACAACGGAACUACUGCAACUCUCGGGAUUCCAUUCGACUCCUAGAUCAAAAUCUUGCCUACCAACCGAAAAUUGCCAAAAUAUCAACUUCACCAAUUCAAGCCUAAAUCUACUCCGAACCUCCAAAACUCAUUCCAAUCGCGCUCCUAAGUCCCAAAUCACCUCCCAAAGUCAACCGAACCAUCAGAACUCACAUCCGAGCCUCUAACACAUAAGUCAAUAUCCGGUUGACUUUUCUAACUUAAGCUCUCUUAAAAGAGACUAAGUGUCUCAAACCUUACCAAAAUCAUUCCAUAUUCGAUCCAACCAACCCGAUACCAUAUAACAUGUAUAAACAAAGCAUAAAGAAGCAGAAAUAGGGAAAUCGGAGCAAUAACUCCUGAGACGACUGAUCAGAUCGACACAAUCUCCAUUUAAGCUUCCAAUAUAUAUUACAAGAUGAUACUAUAAAGCAGCCAGAUGUACAUACAUAUAUUGAAUAUACUACAAGAUCAAUAGGAGAACAAGAUUUCGAGUCAUCAACAUGUUUACUGUUGUUUGAAGAAAAAGUCAUCUGAUGGAAGGCCAAAACAAGAUUGAAUCUCAUCACAGAAAGAUAAUUGAUAGCUAAAUAUAAAUUCUUUCAAUAAUAUCAUGGUGCCAAGAUGGUACUAAUUAGCCAGUAUGAAAACCAGGAGAUAAGAACGAGACACACUUCCCACAAAAAUUCAUUAGGAAGUAGUAACAAUUAGAUUAGAAAUUCACUUAUAUUUAAGCGUUUCAGUAGAAUUGAUGAAAUUUACCUAUAUCGCUUUCAUAUAGAUUGAAUUAUGAUGAAAAUCAUCAAUUAGCUUGAUAACAGAUGGAUAAAACAACAAACUAGCUCAGUGUAAUUUAUUUUUUCCUUUACUAAAUCUUGUUAAAAAUAUAAUAGCACGCAUACCUUGCUUUUUGUGAAUAAACAAGCUGGAAGCCACGAAUAAUAUGAUUAACAUACUAAAAGUGUAACAACCUAAUUACAUAUAUAAAAUCAGAAAUGAUUAAAUUAGUAAAACAAAAAGCCAAACUCUAAUCUAAAAACAAAUAGACAUCUUAGAAAAGCACACAAAGUUAUAAAUAUACAAAUAAAUAAUUUUAAUGAUAUAAACUCAAACCGAGUAGACACUGCCAGAACUCGUAGAUGGUUUUGUCAACAAACAGAAAUAAGAGUAUGUUCAAAUGAAAUUAAAAAUAAAUCAGAAAAAAAUAAUAGGAGCACCAUACUAGAGUUAUACAUGAAGCAUUCAUGCGGAGCUAGAGUACUAACUUAUGGGUGUUCUAAUUUUUACUAAAUAUGGUGUGAAAGAAUAAGAGAGCAGGAAAGAUGGAAUUUGUCUGAUGUUUUAAACUUCUUAUAGACCUAAAACAAAUGUAGCGUGUCCUGGAACUUUAGAAAAAGCCUCCAAACCACAUUUCAUAAAAUGCAAGCAUUUCAACAUUCUAGGAUUGAUAGUUUGAGCUCUAACUUCUCAAGAGCAAUUAAGAGAUAUUAAAAGUAAAACUAACUGAUAGAAAAGUGAGAACAACAUGGUUGUGUCAGACAUAAUAAAUUGAGUGAGAAUUAUUUAGUAUUUGAGUCUUUUCAGCUAUGGUAGCAAAUACAUCAACUAAUAACUAGGAUUGUCCGCUUCCAGUUGCCACUGUUUUAACAAUAAAACAACAGAUUAAGUUCAAAGAUCAUCUCAAAGCGGACAAUUAUCAUCUAUAUUCAUUUUCUUAGUUUAAUUGAUCAAUCAAUUCAAGAAGGUGUCAGUUCUGCACAUUUUUAUCCUUUAAAAGAUGCAUCAAAACUUCCAUCUAGAUCUAGCACCCAACUAUUUCAACUUCUGUCAAUUAAAUACUCAAGUAGUUCUUGUGAAAGCAACAUACACAUGUGAAAUACACAAGCUGCUAACAUUAAUAUCAAGAGUUGACUAGAUAGGAACCUGACUUCUUUUAAAACUGUUACAUUAGGUUUUGACUAGAUAUUUGCGGGGUCACAAGGGAUAGGUGCCGAAGCUAAAUUCCAGGUUCCCUGAAGGGAGGGGGGGGGGGGGGCAGGAAAGUUAAGAAUGUGGUAGGGUAAAACAUUGCAUCAGAUCUAUUGAGGCAAUAUCAUAGCAAUUCUGGUAUGCAAUUGAUGCAUACGUAGAUGCAAUCAUACUUCUGCCGCUCAUUUUCAUGAUUUCAUCUACACAAGAUUCUAUAGUAGGGUAAGUUUAUUCCAUUCUAAAUAUCUACUUAUACAUAAUAGUAUCCAUACUUCAAUAUAUAUGUAAUAAGAAAAGGCACGUCAACUAUAGCUUUUACUAUUUCUGAGACAUGAGAGCACACUACCUCCUUAACUUAUUGACAAGAAAUAAACUGGUAGAAUCACACAAUACUUCUCCCCGACAGGACGCUACAUUGUGCACCAUAAUGUUAUUUCAGCAAAUAUGAAAAGUAAUUAGUAACUAAGAAAUCCUAUCAUGAAGCUUAAGAAAUGUUUCCUGCACCUGCAACUGAAGUAACUAAUCACUUGGAAUCAUAAAGGAUUUAAAACCUAAAAAGUUCAAACUUUAGAAAAUAAAUGAAACUAAUCAUUACAAUACUGAAGAAUGGCCAAAAAGUAUUGCAAAAGAAGUAAAAAUGUGAAAACUAAAUUAAAGGUGAACAUUAAAGCAGCCUAGUUAAAUGCUUCUCAUAGCAAAAAGUUACUUUAUUAAAAUCAGAAAUGCUUGUUAAACUCACAGCACAUAUAAAAAAAACUAAACUUUCAAUAAAAAAAUUAGCCAGGCAAUUUAGUUUCUACUUACAAGAAAAACAAUUAGUCCAAUCAAUUAAGAACAGAUUUAGCAAGCUCUUAAUGGUCUAUUAGUUACACAAAUUUAGGAUUCAUAUUUUGGGAUUUAAACUGAAGCAGCUUACUAGGGUUUCGAAAAGCUGAAACAUACUCACAAAAAAUCAACAAGAUUUAAUUUGAACGAAUAAUUAAAUUGGGAUUUUGAAUAAAAAGAACAACUUUUUAAAAAAAGCAUCACCGGAAUCCUGAAAACCCGGCGAAAGAUCACCGGCGCCGCAAAAGUGUCCGAUCAAAUACUCGUUUCUUUAUCUGACUCAGACGCAUGGAGAUCCGGUUACUGAUUGGUACCAUUUUCUGUGUCAUUAAAGGAGCCUGACAAAUAUGUCACUUUCCAACGAAAUCUCCAAUUGAAUUUGAUUUCCACAUAGCCCAACAAAAGUAUUUCAAUCCCUUCUACUCUGCUAUACUCAAUCUACAAAAAAGAUAUGAGAAGAGCCCUCAACUUUGCUUAUGGAAUUUUAGGAAAGAAGAACGAGGAGAUUUUCUUCUAGCGUGGGUAAAUAGAUUUUAGCGAAAUAUUUUAGGGCGUUGUUUUUCAGAAAAAUUUUAGGGGGAAAUUGUUGCGGG
rnacentral:lncRNA from 1 species